UUUGAUCCCUGGCUUAGAACUAACGCUGGCAGUGCGUCUUAAGCAUGCAAGUCAAACGGGAUGUAGCAAUACAUUCAGUGGCGAACGGGUGAGUAACGCGUGGAUGAUCUACCUAUGAGAUGGGGAUAACUAUUAGAAAUAGUAGCUAAUACCGAAUAAGGUCAGUUAAUUUGUUAAUUGAUGAAAGGAAGCCUUUAAAGCUUCGCUUGUAGAUGAGUCUGCGUCUUAUUAGCUAGUUGGUAGGGUAAAUGCCUACCAAGGCAAUGAUAAGUAACCGGCCUGAGAGGGUGAACGGUCACACUGGAACUGAGAUACGGUCCAGACUCCUACGGGAGGCAGCAGCUAAGAAUCUUCCGCAAUGGGCGAAAGCCUGACGGAGCGACACUGCGUGAAUGAAGAAGGUCGAAAGAUUGUAAAAUUCUUUUAUAAAUGAGGAAUAAGCUUUGUAGGAAAUGACAAAGUGAUGACGUUAAUUUAUGAAUAAGCCCCGGCUAAUUACGUGCCAGCAGCCGCGGUAAUACGUAAGGGGCGAGCGUUGUUCGGGAUUAUUGGGGCGUA
rnacentral:rRNA from 1 species